GAUGAACGCUGGCGGCGUGCCUAACACAUGCAAGUCGAACGAAGCACCUUACUUGAUUCUUCGGCAGACAGUUUGGUGACUGAGUGGCGGACGGGUGUGUAACGCUUGGGUAAACUGCCCUGUACACGGGGAUAACAGCUGGAAACGGCUGCAAAUACCGCAUAAGCGCACGAGCAGACAUCCCCUUGUGUGAAAAACUCCGGUGGUACAGGAUGGGCCCGCGUCUGAUUAGCUGGUUGGCAGGGUAACGGCCUACCAAGGCAACGAUCAGUAGCCGGUCUGAGAGGAUGAACGGCCACAAUGGGACUGAGACACGGUCCAGACACCUGCGGGAGGCAGCAGUGAGGAAUGUUGCACAAUGGGGGAAACCCUGAUGCAGCAACGCGGCGUGAGUGAAGAAGUGUUUCGGUAUGUAAAGCUCUAUCGGCAGGGAAGAGAAUGACGGUACCUAACUAAGAAGCUCCGGCUAAAUACGUG
rnacentral:rRNA from 1 species